GUACACGCUGUGACUAGCAUAUCAAUAAGCGGAGGAAAAGAAACUAACAAGGAUUCCCCUAGUAACGGCGAGUGGAAGCGGGAAGAGCUCAAAUUUGAAAUCUUAAAGGGUUUCCCUUUACGAAUUGUAGUUUAAAGAAGUGUUUUCUGUUGAGGUUUUGGUAAAAGUUCUUUGGAAUAGGACAUCAUAGAGGGUGAGAAUCCCGUAUUUGACCUUUACUUUCAACUUUGUGAUACACUUUCAAAGAGUCGGAUUGUUUGGGUAAUGCAGUCCAAAAUGGGUGGUAAAUUUCAUCUAAAGCUAAAUAUUGGCGAGAGACCGAUAGCGAACAAGUACCGUGAGGGAAAGAUGAAAAGAACUUUGAAAAGAGAGUUAAACAGUACGUGAAAUUGUCAAAAGGGAAGCGUUUGACACCAGUGUUGUUUUUCUGAAAAUCAAUUAAAGAACUGUUUAUGCUAAGUUGUUUAGACUUUAUCAGCUAACUGUUUAGUUUUGAGCUUUUCUUUAAUGCACUUUUCAGUUAACAAGUCAACAUCAAUUUCUUUUGCUGUAAAAAAGCUUGAGGAAGGUGGCUUGAGAUUCGUCUUAAGUGUUUAUAGCCUCUUGCCUAUGCAGUCGGAGAGAUUGAGGUCUGCAGCGUAGAUCCUUCGGGGCUAAAUGCAUUUGUGCUAAGUUAUAGCAUUUUAUAGACAACUUGUUGACUAUGAUUUGUCUUGUAGCUUACCUCGCUUAUGUUAUUUUACCUACGCUUAGGAUGUUGACAGCAGUAUAGACUGUA
rnacentral:rRNA from 1 species